rnacentral:rRNA from 1 species
GAUGAACGCUGGCGGCGUGCCUAAUACAUGCAAGUCGAGCGAACGGACGAGAAGCUGUCUUCUCUGGUGUUAUCGGCGGACGGGUGAUUAACACGUGUAUAACCUACCUAUAAGACUGGGAUAACUUCGGCAAACCGUAGCUAAUACCCGAUAAUAUUUUGAACUGCAUGGUUCAAAAGUGAAAGACGGUCUUUCUGUCACUUAUAGACUGAUCCGGGCUGCAUUAGCUAGUUGGCAAGGCAACGGCUUACCAAGGCAACGAGGCAUACCCGACCUGAGGGGGUGAUCGGACAGACUGGCACUGAGACACGGCCCAGACACCUACGGGGGGCCGCAGUAGGGACUCUUCCGGGAUGGACGAAAGGGUGACGGAGCACAGCCGCGUGAGUGAUGAAGGUCUUCGGCUCGUGGAACUAUGUUGUUAGGGGAGAACAUAUGUGUAAGUAACUGUGCACAUAUUGACGGUACCUAGUCAGAAAGCCACGGCUAACUCCGUG